rnacentral:rRNA from 1 species
AGUGAACGCUGGCGGCGUGCUUAACACAUGCAAGUCGAACGGUAACAGCAGAGCUUGCUCUGGCUGACGAGUGGCGCACGGGUGAGUAAUAUAUAGUUAAUCUGCCUCAAAGACUGGGAUAGCCACUGGAAACGGUGAUUAAUACUAGAUAAUCCUUCUAUUCAUAAGAGUAGUUGGUAAACGUUUUUUCGCUUUGAGAUGAGACUAUAUCCCAUCAGCUUGUUGGUAGUGUAAGAGACUACCAAGCCUAUGACACAUAGCGGGUCUGAGAGGAUGAUCCGCCACACUGGUACUGAGACACGGACCAGACUCCUACGGGAGGCAGCAGUGGGGAAUAUUGCACAAUGGACGAAAGUCUGAUGCAGCAACGCCGCGUGGAGGAUGACACAUUUCGGUGCGUAAACUCCUUUUAUAUGAGAAGAUAAUGACGGUAUCAUAUGAAUAAGCACCGGCUAACUCCGUGCCAGCAGCCGCGGUAAUACGGAGGGUGCAAGCGUUAUUCGGAAUCACUGGGCGUAAAGGGUGCGUAGGCGGUAUGAUAAGUCUGAUGUGAAAUCCUAUGGCUCAACCAUAGAACUGCAUUGGAAACUGUCAAACUAGAAUACUGAAGGGGCAGAUGGAAUUAGUGGUGUAGGGGUAAAAUCCGUAGAUAUCACUAGGAAUACCGAAAGCGAAAGCGAUCUGCUGGGAAGUUAUUGACGCUGAGGCACGAAAGCGUGGGGAGCAAACGGGAUUAGAUACCCCGGUAGUCCACGCCCUAGACGAUGAAUGCUAGUCGUCGGAAAGCUCGUCUUUUCGGUGAUGCAGUUAACACAUUAAGCAUGCCGCCCGGGGAGUACGGUCGCAAGAUUAAAACUCAAGGGAAUAGACGGGGACCCGCACAAGUGGUGGAGCAUGUGGUUUAAUAACGAAGAUACGCGAAGAACCUUACCAAGCCUUGACAUUGAUAGAACGGACCAGAGAUGGACCGGUGCCUUUUUCGGAGGAACUUGAAAACAGGUGCUGCACGGCUGUCGUCAGCUCGUGUCGUGAGAUGUUGGGUUAAGUCCCGCAACGAGCGCAACCCUCGUCGUUAGUUGCUAACAGUUCGGCUGAGCACUCUAGCGAGACUGCCUUCGCAAGGAGGAGGAAGGUGAGGACGACGUCAAGUCAUCAUGGCCCUUAUGGCUUGGGCUACACACGUGCUACAAUGGGGCGUACAGAGAGUUGCGAUACCGCGAGGUGGAGCUAAUCUCAUAAAGCGUCUCUCAGUUCGGAUUGUUCUCUGCAACUCGAGAACAUGAAGCUGGAAUCACUAGUAAUCGUAGAUCAGCAAUGCUACGGUGAAUACGUUCCCGGGUCUUGUACUCACCGCCCGUCACACCAUGGGAGUUGAUUUCACCCGAAAUCGGGAUGCCAAACUGGCUACCGCUUACGGUGGAAUUAGCGACUGGGGUGAAGUCGUAACAAGGUAACC